GAUGAAGAACGCAGCGAAAUGCGAUAAGUAGUGUGAAUUGCAGAAUUCAGUGAAUCAUCGAAUCUUUGAACGCACAUUGCGCCCCUUGGUAUCCCGAGGGGCAUGCCUGUUCGAGCGUCAUUUCACCACUCAAGCCUGGCUUGGUGUUGGGCGACGUCCCCUUUAGGGACGCGCCUCGAAACGCUCGGCGGCGUGGCACCGGCUUUAAGCGUAGCAGAAUCUUUCGCUUUGGAAGUCGGGGCCCCGCCUGCCGGAAUACCUACUCGUAAGGUUGACCUCGGAUCAGGCAGGGAUAACCGCUGAACUUAAGCAUAUCAAUAAGCGGAGGA
rnacentral:misc_RNA from 1 species